rnacentral:lncRNA from 1 species
AAAUCAUUUACCUUUCAAUCUUGGAAGGCCCUAAGCUGAAGGAGAGCAUCAAUUGUCAUGAGAGAUAAGCAAUAUCUAUUAGACAUGCAUACUAUCAGGCUAACGCAAACCACUCGGGAAUGAAGUAUACUUACCGUAACUUUCUAUGUGUUGACUUGAGUUUUCCUAUUAGUAAAAGAAACAUGCCAUUUUUUUGCGGUUCAUGGAUUCAUGCUCAAUGUUGAAUUAUUAUCUGAUCUACAAAAGCAUGCCUUACUGCUGCUCAUGGUCACAUGAUUUAUAAUUUAUAACUACAAUUAUUUAAAUCAGUAUCUUGCAUGAAGUCUUGACAUCUAGCUUGAUCAAAGAUUCCACUGUGUGCUUAUUUCUCCAUCAUAUCGCACAAUGAAUAAUAUCAGUAGAUAAAUAUCUCCUUUUUAUGCAAUGAAUUUCAUGAAAUAAAACAGCGUCGAUCAUUGUCUCCGACGUAAUCUUAAGUGCACAGGCAUGUCUUACUGUCACUGCUUUCUUGUAGUAUUAGUGUCGUCUUUGGCUAUUUCCUUUCUUGAAUUUUCCAAUGACAGCAUACAUGCCUAAACAUAUUCAAAGUUGUUGAUUAUUUUGUUGCAAAUAUAGUAUUUAGUAAUUUGACGUGAACCCUUGAAGGUCCAAUUAAGUCUAUUUGACUAGGAAGCUAGGUGAUAUGUGCUCAAAAGAACCUACCCCUGUUAUGCACCAGUUUUGUACCGUAGUGUUGUUUAUGCUGUUAUGCUAUAUAUCUUGUAUUAAUUGAAUUUUGAAGAUAACGAUUAAGGAAUUCAUCUACAAUAGGAACUUACUUCCCAACAAGGAAAGUCCAAUGAUUGGGCAACAACAUGUGGAAGGAUAAUUACUGGAUACUUUUUUUAGCGAACAACUGCGGAGCAAAUGAUUUGCUGUCUCAAAACAUGUAAGUUGUGAUGCCCUCUCUGGAAUCGAAUUACUAAUUCGUAAAACAGGAUCUGGUUCUACAAUUUUAUCAAAAUUAAUUUGGCACUACAAAAACAUUUGUCAUUUCAUCUAGGAAUAUUUUUAAAUAGUUAAUAAAUCAUACAGACUUGAUAUUUUCUUGGUCUCAUGCAACUAUGUGUUGUUUCUUAUUUUACUCAACAAUCAUUUGUGGCAAUUAUGAGUUGUUUUUCGCCAUCCGUACACUAUCCCUUAAUUUUACUACGAAUAUAUGAAAGUACACACCAAGGGGUUUGCGAAAAUUAAAAACACUAGGACACAAGCACGAGUCACCUUAUGAGGUGAUGAUGUAGGAGACACAAUGAGGUUAAAGAGAUGUGAUGGACAUAGAAGGGUAAACCCAUGAGGACAAAGAGAUGUGAUGCACAUAGAAGGAGGAAGCAAGGACCUCGAUCCACAUUAUUGAAGACAUAGAUAAGAACAAGAGUAUCACACUUCACACAUCAACCAAUCAAUGACACGUGUUGGUAUUGGGGCAUAUCGCCCUCCCUUGCAUUAUACCUGUUAAUAUUAAGAUGAAACACUUAGUUGGAUGCAUUUCUCUUAUAUUGUUCUAUGGCAACACCCGAGCAUUCUGCUAGAGAAGAUGCUCGGCUGUAGACAGAAUCAUAUAUUAUAUUAUUAUCAUUAGUAUCAACAUAUUUGUAAAUGUUUUCAUACUCAAUCUAUGAGGUUAGAUUCAACACAAGAUCUAAAGUUUUGUGUGAAGCCAAAUAUGCAGUGUCAGCAAUACUGUUUGAUAGCUUGGGGUAUGAUAAUGCGGCAAACGGCCAACGGCUGGCUAGCUGUGUGGGAGAGCAAGAGAUGUCUCGAGAAACGUCUCACUACAGUGGGAAACCGAGCGGGAAGGGGAGGGUGUGACAGGGAAAAGGAAAUUUGUGUUGCGCCCGCGGGUUGGAGAUAACAAAUGGUGGAUAGUCCGAACAAUGACAUUUCUUCCCCACAUAUUAUCUGGAUAUGGGUAAGUCCGGACUAUCCAGGCGGUUGAAUUUUGGGGAGCUCGUUGGGCACCGGACGUAUGAGGGAGAAAUGAGCUUCGACUUUGAAAACGACUUUAAUAAUUUAUUUGAUUCGUUUAUGUGCAUUGUAGCCCGUAGCAACGCACGGGCAUUGUACUAGUUCUGAUAAAUUCUGAUUCAUGCGUGUCUCUCCCAAAAGGUGGGUACAACAAGGAUUAUUAUGAUAAACUAAAAAGCAAAGACUCAAAUCAUACAAGACGCUCCAAGCAAAACACAUGUCGUGUGAUGAAUAAAAAUAUAGUCUCAAGUAAAGUUAUCGAUAGACGAAAACGAAAGAGGGGAUGCCUUUCGGAGCAUCCCCAAGCUUAGGCUUUUGGUUGUCCUUAAAUUUUACCUUGGGGUGCCUUGGGCAUCCCCAAGCUUAGGCUCUUGCCACUCCUUAUUCCAAAAUCCAUAAAAUCUUUACCCAAAAACUUGAAAACUUCACAACACAAAACUUCAACAGAAAAUCUCAUGAGCUCCGUUAGUAUAAGAAAAUAAACCACCACUUUCUUUAUUUAUAUUGGUGUUAAACCUACUGUAAUCCAACUUCUCUAUGGUUCAUACUCCCCAAUACUAUUCAUAGAUUCAUCAAAAUAAGCAAACAACACACGAAAAGCAGAAUCUGUCAAAAACAGAACAGUCUGUAGCAAUCUGUAACUUUUGAAUACUUCUAUAACUCCAAAAAUUCUGAAAUAAAUUGGUCUACGUGAGAAAUUUGUCUAUUAAUCAUCUGUAAAAAGAAUCAACCUAAAAGCGCUUUCCAGUAAAAAAUGACAGCUAAUCUCGUGAGCGCAAAAGUUUCUGUUUUUUACAGCAAGAUCGCAAAGACUUCACCCAAGUCUUUCCAAAGGUUCUACUUGGCACAAACACUAAUUAAAAUAUAAAACCACAUCUAAACAGAAUCUAUAUGAAUUAUUUAUUACCAAACCGGAGCAAAAAGCAAAGAACAAAAAUAAAAUUGGGUUGCCUCCCAACAAGCGCUAUCGUUUAACGCCCCUAGCUAGGCAUAAAAACAAGAAUAGAUCUAGGUAUUGCCAUCUUUCGUAUACAAUUCUUCAAUUGAACACACAUAAACCUUAGGAGGUUCUUUGGUCUUAUUAAUGAUCAAACUCCUAGGCAAGAAAUCAAGAAAUUCAUUUGUAGCAAAAGGUUUCUUAAUGAUAUCGAAAAAGUUGGGGUGAACACUUAUUGAUUUGAGGUCUUCAUUUUCCUUACUAGAGUAUUCACCCUUAUUUUUAGGAACAUAGAUAAACUCGGCAACUUUGGUAGGAGGAGGAUUUGAGGUAUUUUUAAUGGCAGAAAAAGUGGACCCCAAGUUGGUAAUAAUAUCUUCGAGUUUAUCAAUUCUAGUGGAAUCUUGAUCUAUCUUCUCAUUAACUGUGGGUUCCUUCUCCCUAAGAUUUUUCAGAGUAACUCCUACCUUAGAUCCAUAUUGGGUAAUUUGGUUGUGGAUCUUUUUAUCCAAAUUUUCGAUUAACUCUACAGUGGAAAUUUUAUUUUCAAUAAUAUCAAGCCUUUGCAUCACAUGUUCCAAAGUUAAAAUAGUUUCAUUGACCAAAAAAGGUGGUGGGCCUAACAAAUCUAUCAUAGCAUUAUAAGAAUGAAAAGUAUGGCUUCCCAAGAAAUUCCCUCCGGUAAUGGUGUCAAGAACAUAUCUAUUCCAAGGAGUGAUGCCUACGUAAAAAUUGUGAAGAAGAAUGGAAGUGGAUUGCUUUCUAGUAGAUCUAUUUUGAGCAUUGCAAAUUCUAUACGCAGCAUCUUUUAGAUUUUCUCCCUCCCUAUGUUUAAAAUUGAGAACUUCAUUAUCGGGAGUAUUAACAAUGAUAGGAGGACUAGCCAUGAAGGCGAAACAAAUGAUCUAACACACGGAUGCACAAGAAGCAAGCGAAAAGAGGCGAACGAAAGAGGGGCGAAGAAAAGGCAAAGGUUUUCGAAAAUCAUUUUAGAAGUGGGGGAGAGGAAAACGAGAGGCAAAUGGCAAAUAAUGUAAUGCGAGGGGAAGAGUUUAUGAUGGGUACUUGGUAUGUCUUGACUUGGCGUAGAUCUCCCCGGAAACGGCGCCAGAAAUCCUUCUUGCUACCUCUUGAGCAUGUGUUGGUUUUCCCUUGAAGAGGAAAGGAUGAUGCAGCAAAGUAGCAUAAGUAUUUCCCUCAGUUUUGAGAACGAAGGUAUCAAUCCAGUAGGAGACAACGCACAAGUCACCUAGUACCUGCACAAACAAUCAAGAACCUUGCAACCAACGCGAUAAAGGGGUUGUCAAUCCCUUCACGGUUGAGGGAGUCCUGGAUUAAGGGGUCCUCGGACGUCCGGCCUAUGUGACGUGGGCCGGACUGAUGGGAGAUGAAGAUACAAGACAGAAGACUUCCUCCCGUGUCCGGAUGGGACUCUCCUUUGUGUCGAAGGCAAGCUUGGCGUUCGGAUGUGAAGAUUCCUUCAUCUGUAAACCGACUCUGUACAACCCUAGGCCCCUCCGGUGUCUAUAUAAACCGGAGGGUUUACUCCAUAGAGGCGAUCAUAAUCAUACAGGCUAGACAUCUAGGGUUUAGCCACUACGAUCUCGUGGUUGAUCAACUCUUGUAAUCCUCAUAUUCAUCAAGAUCAUUCAAGCAGGAAGUAGGGUAUUACCUCCAUUAAGAGGGCCCGAACCUGGGUAAACAUCAUGUCCCCCGCCUCCUGUUACCAUCGACCUUAUACGCACAGUUCGGGACCCCCUACCCGAGAUCCGCCGGUUUUGACACCGACAUUGAGAGUUCCACUGUGUCGUCAUCAGAAGGUUCGAUGGCUCCAUCAGUCACCUACAACAAUGCUGCCUUGGGGGAGGUUUUUCUUCCCGGCCAGAUCGUCGUAUUCAGCGGCUUCGCACUUCGGGCCAACUCGCUUGGCUGUCUGGAGCAGAUCGACAGCUACGCCCCAGGUCACCAGAUUAGUUUUGGAAAUCUGGACUAUGUCGCUGAUAUCCGAGGAGACUUGAUCUUCCAAGGGUUCACGACCCCAACCUCCGCUCUGGCUUAGAUUCGGAGCGCAUCGCCAGGUCCGAAGACGGGAUUCCUGAGCCCGCCGGACUAUCUGCGACCACUAAGCCCAGUAUGGAGAGCCGGAGGAAGUAGUAUCGCUGGCAACCAUCAAGAAGCUGGACUCUUCUCCGGACACUGGCUCCGAACCCUCGGAGUCAACAUCGUGUGAGCUCGGCCAGGGAAUCCCCUUCCCAUCGUACUCCACGGACUCUCUUCUCCCUGGCCAAACCUCGCAUUUAAGCGAGGCUCUGGACUUGAUGCGAUCCCUCGUCAUUACAGAGGAGCAACGUCCGAACUACGCCCAGCCCGGACUAGGGGCUGAGAGCGGGGAAUUUUACGUCCCACCCACCACCCACUUCAUAGCCACUGUCGAGGACUUAACUGACAUGCUCGACUAUGGCUCUGAAGACAUCGACAGUAUGGACGACGAUGCCAGAGAGGAGCAGGCCCAAAACCCGCCGUUUACCGGACGCUGGACGGCCGCCACUUCGUAUGACGUGUACAUGGUGGAUACACCCAAAGAGGGUAACGGCUAUAACGAGAAGAAUCCAGUCGAGGAUAAACCUCCUGAGAUACAACCAAAGUGCCGACGUCAGCGGCGCCGCUCUAAAUCACGCCGUGGAAAAGACAGCAAUACCGGCACGAGAGACAAUAAUACUCCGGACGAUGCCGAAGACGAAGAAGAACCUGUCGAGCCAACCUCUGAACAGGACGAUCAGGAAGAUGGGCAAGUUAGCCCUGAUGAACAGGCCGUAAACAAAGACUCGGAGGACAACAAUUAUCUUCCACUCUCCGAGGAUGAGGUGAGCCUCGGCAACGAAGACUUUAUCGUGCCUAAGGAACCUCUCGAGCAGGAGCGCUUUAAGCACCGGCUAAUGGCCAUAACAAGGAGCCUGAAAAAGAAGCAGUAGCAGCUUCAAGCUGAUCAAGAUCUACUCAAUGACAGGUGGACUAAUGUCCUGGCAGCCGAGGAAUACGGCCUCGAGCGCCCAACCAAAAGUUACCCGAAGUGUAAACUUCUACCCUAAUUCGAUGACGAGGCACUGGACCCCGUAUCAUCGGCGCGUAACGCGGCUGACCGACCACCACGUGGCCGGGACAAGACGACAAUUCAAGCCGAACACUAGCCCAUACCACCUCGUCGUAAAGGUAGAGACACAACAGCUCGGGGAUAUACAUACGACCUGCGGCAGGACCUGGAAAAUAGAGCAGGUCAGACCAGAUUGAUCUACGGAUCGCGGGGGCGUGCCCCGAUGCUCGACGACGGCUAUCUAGUCGGACGUGACAAGCAUAACCACAUUCGGGCCGAAAACCGCAGACGGACUCCAUCCGAGCAACGACACGACUUGGCCCGAUAUAGAGGCGCCGCACACCCCCUCUGCUUUACUGAUGGAGUAAUGGAGCAUGAAUUCCCAGAAGGGUUUAAACCCGUGAAUAUCGAAUCAUAUGAUGGAACAACAGAUCCCGCGGUAUGGAUUGAGGACUUUCUUCUCCAUAUUCACAUGGCCCGCGACGAUGAUCUUCAUGCAAUCAAAUACCUCCCGCUAAAACUCAAGGGACCCGCUCGGCACUGGUUAAACAGCCUGCCAGAGAACUUUAUUGGCAGCUGGGAGGACUUGGAAGACACCUUCCGCGACAACUUCCAAGGUACAUACGUCCGACCUUCGGAUGCCGAUGACUUAAGUCACAUAGUCCAACAGCCCGGAGAGUCAGCCAGGAAAUUCUGGACCAGGUUCCUAACUAAAAAGAACCAGAUUGUCGACUGUCCAGAUGUCGAAGCCCUAGCGGCCUUUAAGCAUAGCAUUCGCAAUGAAUGGCUCGCCCGACACCUCGGCCAAGAAAAGCCGAAGUCCAUGGAAGCCCUCACAGCACUUAUGACCCGCUUUUGCGCGGGCGACGAUAGCUGGCUAGCCCGUAGCAAUAAUAAUGCAAGCGAACCUGACACCUCUGAAGCCAGAAAUAGCAACGGCAGGCCCCGACGUAACAGGCACAAGUGUCAAAACAACGGUGACAAUAUCGAUGACAUGACGGUCAACACCGGAUUCAGUGGCUCCAAGUCCGGCCAGCGGAAGAAGCCAUUUAAAAGAAACAAUCCAGGCUCAUCCAGCUUGGACCGCAUACUCUGUCGGUGUACAAAAGUAGGGGCUCCCCUUUUGACCCCUUUACUUGUGCACGGGCAGUCAGAGCCACGCGCCACGGCCACACUUAGCAAGGCAGAAGAGGGAAGCCAGAGAGAAGCCAAAGCACAAGACAACCAAGGCAACGCCAAGACCAGAAACGCAAGAGAGCAAGAGGGCGAGGUGGACUCCCUCGGCAAGAUCCUUGCCGAGGCAGCCUCCGUAGCCCCGGCAAGAGCCUUGCCGGGCGACCUGCCCGAUGCCAGCAGAGCAAGCCACCCUUGAGCCCAUGGGUCCCAACACCACCAACUACAUUGGAACCAAGGCUCGGGAGGCACCUCUGAGGUGGCAUGCAGAUCUUCGUCAAGAUCAUAAACAUGUGAGAUCAGAUGAGGACUAGAAGACGGCGACCCUCGGCGGGAUCCUAGCCGAGGGAAUCCACAAGACCCCCGGAAAGCGCCUUGCCGGGGAAGAUUGCAACGCCACGGCAAGACCCUUGCCGGGCCCCCGGCAAGACCCUUGCCGAGGGCAUCAGCGGGGCCACUGCCAGGUCCACGCCAGCCAAGACUCCGCCGCCGUCCCCAAGCAGCUGCUAGCUCAACCAGCUGGGCAGGCACCUGCGUGGCGACGGGCGGCCUCUACACCGACUCAGCAAGCACCUGCGUGGUGGCAUGCAACCCUUCGUGAAGGCUCCACCACCGCGCCAGCCCAGCAGCUAGCCGACGUGGCGCCUCGACGCCUCAUCAGCUCGAACGCGUGUCAAGGCCAGGUGAGGCGGCGACAGCUGAGACGUGCUUCCUUGCCGUCCCUGAUAAAGCAAGGGGGGCACGUCGGCAGCGCAUUAAAUGCGUUUGUCUGACGGUCCCAGAGGAUAGGCUUAUCAACCGUAGACCUUUCCACCUCCCGUGUGCCACUGUGGCGAUCCCUUUUGCCUAUAAAAGGAGGCCCGAGGCGACCAGGAGAGGGAUUCGGCUCUUUUGGGCAAGUUGCACCCCGUAGCUAGCUCAAGAACACAAGAACACUCAAUACAUCCACCAAAGCAGGACUAGGGUAUUAUGCAUCUUCGCGGCCCGAACAUGUGUAAACGACCUGUGUGCUUCCUGUCAGACCUGCUCUUUGCACAACCUCGCGCCCGCCGACCGUAGAAGGGAUCCCAGUGAGCCCGUAGGUGUCGUUCCCACCGACAUCUUUGGCGCGCCAGGUAGGGGGGCGCAGUUGUGAGAAUCUGGUCUAGCAGUUAGCCUAGCAGUUCUUCAUCGCCAUGGCUCCCAAGAAGAAGGCGGCCACGGCGGUCGGUUCGACGGGAGCCGGAUGGCCCGUAUCGGUGCGGGCAAGCAGCGGGCCGGUCGCGGACAGGACCCGAGGCACGACCCGCGAGCAACGACAUCGCCCUGGUAGUCAGAGCCUAGCGAGCGGCUUCAUGGCGGCCGUCCUUCCAAGGAAGAAGACGACCGAGCUUGACGCCACCAUCUGCGCAUGCGGUGGACGCCCGUGCGACGACAGAAAAGCUAAGUCAUGCGAAACUUUGAGCAAUUUCCUUUUUAUAUAUGAGGUUAUUGUCCUCGAAGGUCCUGCCCUAUGUAUGAAAGCCUGCACGCAAAGGGACCCUUCCGCAAUUGGCAACGCCCUUGUUCUGUUUCGAGUCUGCUCAACAGCUCAAGCGGCCGCGUCGAGAGUGGCAGGGUAGCCUUCCGCAAUUGGCAACGCUCUCGAUUCUGACUCUGCAUAAUAAAGGCCUUACCCGUCGCGAUUUUCCUGGUCUCCUGGAUUUUCUGGAGGGCACCCUGGGCUUCAACCCGGGCCUCUUGUGCGCUUUGGCGGGCCUUGGCAAGUUCGGACUCUUGGUCCGCAAUAUUGCGUUCCAAGGACUCGCAUUUCUUUACGGCGUCCUGGAGCUCCUGCUGGACCUCCCCGACUCUGGCCUCAUGUUUUUCGCGGGCGGCUUGUUCUUUCGCCGCUUUCUUCUGGGCCUCGGCCAGCGCGUUCUUGAGGGACUCCACCUCGGUCGCAACACCUAUGAAAUAUCAUGAUAACAUGAUCAACACAAACAAUUCAUAUCUUUUUAGAUCUGAAUAGUCCAUUGCAUACCUUGCUUGUCCUCUAGUUGUUUUUUCACACGACCGAGCUCUUCCUCGGCCCGCUCCAGACUCUGCUUCAGUUUGGAGACUUCGGCAGAGUGGGAGGUCGCAGCCAGCAUCGACGCCUGCUUAUUUACAUAGACAUGUAUGGUUAGUCUCCUGCGAAAAUUAUUUGAUCCUCUGUCCGGCUUUUCUUUUCGAACACCGGACAGAGUCUCAGGGGCUACUGUCUAUACUAUGACAUUCUUUUUGCAUAAAUUACGUCGCAUACCUCAAAACCUGUUAGAAGGCUGGUGUAGGCUUCGGUCAGUCUGCUCUUAGCGGACUGAACCCUCUCAACCACCGUACCCAUGAGGGUACGGUGUUCCUCAACAAUGGAAGCACUUUGCAGUGCUUCCAGUAAAGUAUCCAGUGCCUCUGGAUGGACAGAGGUCACCGGCGGAAUAGGUGCACCUCCUUCUUUCGAAGGAAGCUACUUGCCUGAUUCCGGAGCCGUAUGGGCCUCCGGAAUAGUAUUCGGCUGGGGGGCGAAUUGGAUAUGGCCCCCAACGCCAGUCUCCGGGGGGAUUUGCACCCCCAUGUGUCCGGCGGCCGAGGUAUCACCCUCUGGCGCCACCCUGACGGCCUCCUGUAUCUCUCCCUGGCCUGGGGAGGUCCUUCAGGACAGCACCUCGGCGUCGUCCAUGGACUUGGGAGAGGAGGCCGCCGGAAGUGACCCGCUGUCCAUCACCUUCGGAUCCAGCGAAUUCCCCGAAGAUGAGGAUCGCUUGGGGCAGGCGUGGGCCGGACUGCAGUGCAUGAUUCGACAUAUUAAAACCACAAAGUAAAGAAGUUGGAUAUAUGUGUGUAUAAGUGCCUUUGAGUACUUACGAUUGGGCCAGGGGCUUCUCCCUGGGGUGCCACUCGGAGCUGCUACCGGUGUCCAACGCGGAGUUGUCCACGAGGGAGAUCUUCCCCUUCUUGGACGCCUCUGCCUCCAGAUCCAUGGAGGCCGCCCUAUUCUUCCUUCCCCCCUCGGGGGGAGAGUUGCCUUCCUCCUCCUCCUCGUCCUCGGCGGCGACAGAGUGGUUUUUGGCGUCUUCAGACAUCACGUCCGAAGUGCCUUUACGGCAGAGGCCACUUCUGGUCUCCUUGGCCUUCUUCUCCGGCGCCUAGUAGGGCGCCGGAACCAACAUCUUCGUUAGAAGUGGGAAUGCUGGAUUUUUGGGCAGCGGAGCCGGACACUGGAUCCGCUCCGCCUUCUUUGUCCAGCCCUAAAAAGACAGACAGGGAAGCUCAGAUAUCUUCCUUGAAUGUACAGGUGAAGGAUACACCUUGAAAUAUGAAAGCUUACCGAACUGGCGGGAUGGGUCAGGUUAUACCCACGGUCCUCGGUCGUCUGCGGCCACGUCUCAUUGGCCUUGAAAAGCACCUUCCAGAUGCCUUCGUGCGUGGAGCCGAAGAACUGCUGCAAGGUCUGGUGCUUGGCCGGAUCGAACUCCCAUAAAUUGCAAGUCCGGCUUUGGCAAGGAAGGAUCCGGCGAAAAAGCAUCACCUGGAUCACAUUGACAAGCUUGAUGUUCUUGUCCACCAUGCUCUUGAUGCACAUCUGUAGCGCUGACACCUCGUCCGACGACGCCCAGUCCAGGCCCUUCUCUAGCCAGGAGGUAAACCGCAUUGGGGCCCCGGACUUGAAUUCGGGAGCCGCAGCCCAGGUGGUGUCGCGGGGCUUUGUGACGUAGAACCACUGCUGCUGCCACCCUUUGACGGUCUCCACAAAAGUGCCUUCGGGCCACGUGACAUUGGACAUCUUGCUCACCAUAGCGCCUCCACACUUUGCGUGUUGACCACCCACCACCUUCGGCUUCACGUUGAAGGUCUUUAGCCACAAUCCGAAGUGGGGUGGGAUGCGGAGGAAGGCCUCGCAUAUGACAAUGAAUGCCGAGAUGUCGAGGAAGGAGUUGGGGGCCAGAUCAUGGAAAUCUAGCCCAUAGUAGAACAUGAGUCCGCGGAUGAAGGGGUGGAGAGGAAACCCUAACCCGCGAACGAAGUGGGGAAUGAACACCACCCUCUCAUGGGGCUUCGGGGUGGGGGUGAUCUGCCCCUUGGCCGGAAGCCGGUGGGCGAUUUCCUGGGCCAAGUACCCCGCUUCCCGGAGCUACGUGAUGUCCUUCUCCGUGACGGAGGAGGCCAUCCACUUGCCCUGCGCUCCAGAUCCGGACAUGGUCGGAGUGCUUUUUUGAGGCGGAAAGGAUGGAAGCUUGGGUGCUGGAGCUCGAGAAUGGGUGGGCAGAGAUAAAGAAGGCGUGGGUGAAAAGGUGAAUCCUUAUCUCUUUAUAAAGGAAGCAAAUAUCAAGCGCGUCCCCAUUCGCCUUAAAACUCGCCUAUUCCCCAAGGGUCAUGCAGACGACGCGGUUGGAUUACCCACGCCCAUAUUGAUGAGAAUCCCGCAAUAAGGGGACACGAUCUCUGCUUUGACAAGACGUGCCAAUGGAAACCGCAUCUCGAAACACGGAGCGGGAGGCUAAAAAGGUUCGAAAUAAUGACCGGGCGGAGACGUGGCGUCUCACUACAGAAGAUGUCAGUAGAUGGGACUUGUUAAAUAUUAUACUCUUUGCGGAGCUUAUUUUGCAGAGCCAGACACGUUAUCUGUUCGAAGACUACUUUGGAAUAUUCGAAGGAGGAACCCGCCUUGCAAUGCUGAAGACAAUCCGCGCGUCGGACACAUCGGCAUUGAAGCCUGGUUCAGGGGCUACUGAGGGAGUCCUAGAUUAAGGGGUCCUCGGGCGUCCGGCCUAUGUGACUUGGGCCGGACUGAUGGGCCAUGAAGAUACAAGAUAGAAGACUUCCUCCCGUGUCCGGAUGGGACUCUCCUUUGCGUGGAAGGCAAGCUUGGCGUUCGGAUAUGAAGAUUCCUUCCUCUGUAAACCGACUCUGUACAACCCUAGGCCCCUCUGGUGUCUAUAUAAACUGGAGGGUUUAGUCCGUAGAGGCAAUCAUAAUCAUACAGGCUAGACAUCUAGGGUUUAGCCACUACGAUCUCGUGGUAGAUCAACUCUUGUAAUCCUCGUAUUCAUCAAGAUCAAUCAAGCAGGAAGUAGGGUAUUACCUCCAUCAAGAGGGCCCGGACCUGGGUAAACAUCGUGUCCCCCGCCUCUUGUUACCAUCGACCUUAGACGCACAGUUCGGGAUCCCCUACCCGAGAUCCGCCGGUUUUGACACCGACAACGGUCACUCUCAAAAGUGAGAUCUAAUAGAGAUAGUAAAGUAAAUAUUUUUGGUAUUUUUGUUGUAUAGAUUGGAAAGUAAAGAUUGCAAAAUAGUAAACGAGAUGUGAUGUAAAUAAAAGAGAUGUAAUAUAAUAGGAAAGAGACCUGGGGGGCAUAGGUUUCACUAGUGGCUUCUCUCAAGAUAGCAUGUAUUACGGUGGGUGAACAAAUUACUGCCGAGCAAUUGAUAGAAAAGCGCAUAGUUAUGAAGAUAUCUAAGGCAAUGAUCAUGAAUAUAGGCAUCACGUCCGUGUCAAGUAGACCGAAAUGAUUCUGCAUCUACUACUAUUACUCCACACAUCGACCGCUAUCCAGCAUGCAUCUAGAGUAUUAAGUUCAUAAGAACGGAGUAACGCAUUAAGCAAGAUGACAUGAUGUAGAGGGAUAAACUCAAGCAAUAUGAUAUAAACCCCAUCUUUUUAUCCUCGAUGGCAACAAUACAAUACGUGCCUUGCUGCCCCUACUGUCACUGGGAAAGGACACCGCAAGAUUGAACCCAAAGCUAAGCACUUCUCCCAUUCCAAGAAAGAUCAAUCUAGUAGGCCAAACUAAACCGAUAAUUCGAAGAGACUUGAAAAGUUAUCAAACCAUGCAUAUAAGAAUUCAGAGAAGAACCAAAUAAUAUUCAUAGAUAAUCUUGUUCGUAAAUCCACAAUUCAUCGGAUCUCGGCAAACACGCCGCAAAAGAGUAUUAAAUUGAAUAGAUCUCCAAGAACAUCGAGGAGAACUUUGUAUUGAGAAUCAAAGAAAGAGAAGAAGCCAUCUAGCUAAUAAUUAUGGACCCGAAGGUCUGUAGUAAACUACUCACGCAUCAUCGGAGAGGCAAUGGUGUUGAUAUAGAAGCCUUCCGUGAUCGAUUCCCCCUCCGGCAGAUCGCCGAAAAAGGCCCCAAGAUGGGAUCUCACGGGUACAAAAGGUUGCGGCGGUGGAAAAGUGGUUUUGUGGCUCCCCCUGAUGUUUCUAGGGUAUAAGAGUAUAUAUAGGCGAAAGAAGUACGUCGGUGGAGCUACGACGGGCCCACGAGGGUGGGGGGCGCGCCCUCCUGCCUCGUGGCUUCCUCGUGGCGUUCCAGACUUCGACUCCAAGUCUCGUGGAUUGCUUUCGGUCCAAGAAAUAUCAUCGCGAAGGUUUCAUUCCGUUUGGUAUUCCGUUUCUGCAAAACUCUAAAAUAGGAAAAAACAGAAACUGGCACUGGGCCUUCGGUUAAUAGGUUAGUCCCAAAAAUAAUAUAAAAGGGCAUAUUAAAGCCCAUUAAACAUCCAAAACAGAUAAUAUAAUAGCAUGGAACGAUCAAAAAUUAUAGAUACGUUGCAGACGUAUCAGAAAUCGCCGUGAAUUCAUUUUUAUUCGAGCUGAUUUGAGAAUUUUCUUUCAUUCAUAGAAUAUACAGUGCGCCGACACUUCAGGACUUUGCGACCGCCGCCAGAGAUUCCAUCUCACCGUACCAGAUAACUUGAGGAUGUGCACGGUAUGUUCAAUGUCACCCUAUAUCGGUUGGCAUGGCCUACUUUCCUGAGCAUAUUCUAAAUAUUGCUACAUUUGGAUAAAAGGUGCCACAUGCACCAUUUACGUCAAAGGGGAUUUUCCCCCCUCUUCUUUCUAUAUUAUGCAAAUUAAUGAUGUAUUGUUCUUUCAAUUACUCUCAUAUUUCCAUGACAUCAUGUCUACCCUUAUAGAUUUUUGUCCUACGAUUUCAACUGCUGUACAAUUCUUUCAAUUUGGGCCCAUAUUUGCAUGUUACCAUAUUUUCUUUAACAAUCCUACCAUUUUCUGCAGAACAUCCCUUGCUAUGCAACAGAUUAUGUAGUGCACAAUUUUUCUCUUUACAUAGAUCAAGGCUCCACAGAUGUCAUAGUGCACACAAACCAUGGAUUUACAAUCGUUGCUACUGUAAGACUUGAUGAACGUGGUGACUCCUAUUUUGCCACUGGCUUUUGGAAAGAAAUUGCAAAGUUUUAUGUACUGAAAGAUGGCAUAAAAUUGCACUGCACAUAAAAGGGCCUGGUCAUGAGAUAUAUGCUAACUUCCCCGACAAAAUCAUCCGUCUAGACUUUGUUCGAAGUAAAUUUUCUUUUCAACUAUCUGCAUGUUGACUUACCCAGCAAUGUCAAAUGAAUUGUGUAGUAUUUAAGAAACCAAUUGUUAUUCUCUUUUCUUACUAUAUUCCAACCUAAUAACUUCUAGUUAUCAAUACACUUUUCUAUUGCCCCGUUUUAACUAAAUAUUCCCUGUACUCUCAUUUCUAUCAGAAAGCGCCGCUGACAAGGAGACUCCGGAGGUGGAGAACGGGGCUGCCAACAAGCGGAGGCGGGGUGAGCUAGAACCGCAAGCGACUCCAGCAAGCCUAGACUUCAUCAGCAACCUCCCCGAUGAUAUGUUGAAAGUCAUCAUCUCCCUCCUCCCAAUCAAAUAGGUUAGGCGAUUUUGUAGUCGGGCCAAGGCGACUAUGUGUAAGGGCUUAGGCGGCUCUUUUGUGUGACUUGGGCUUGGGAGAGUUAGUGUUUUCAGAUACUCUAGGAUUGCGGCGACUAUGUGUUGGUUGGUAGGCGACUCUGUGUCGCAAAUUUAGGGGUGUUGUAAGCGCCUUUAGCAUGUGGGUUUGGUCGAGUUAGUUUCCCCGGUUAGGAGACUACGUAUAAGGGCUUAGGCGGCUCUUUUGUGUGACUUGGGCUUGGGCGAGUUAGUGUUUUGUGAUACUCUAGAUUGUGGCGAUUAUGUGUUGGUUGGUAGGUGACUCUAUGUCGCAAAUUUAGG